CAGAUAAGCAUGGAGGCAAUAUCUGAAAGGGGCGGGGCUUGUCAAUAGGGGCGGAGAGAGUGUUCAGUGCGCAUGUGUGACAUUAGCAGAAAGCGGUUUUAACAUCGACAUGGUGGAUAAAAACAAAGAAAGAAAGCGAAGAAAGGCUUACGAUAAGGCAAGAAGUAGGACGUGUUAGGAUCAGCUUUCCAGCGCUGGAGAGAACUGAAGGAGCCCAUAUUCACAGAUUGGAGUUUCCCGAGUCAAUAACUCCUAACUGCUCUGCAAACAGUAGCCUUACUAAUAUGUUCUACAUCCAUGUUGUUAUACACAAAAUUACCAUUUGCAAAGAAACAUAAGGGAACGCAAAGCAUCUGCUCGGAUGUAAGAGCGAGGCAGCGAUGGUAAAGUGGGAAAGCCAAAGGAGGUGUGAAGAGGAAACGAUAGAUGAGCGAAACAGGGCUCCAGCAGGAGGAGGAUGAACUCCAGCCGGAGGUGGAGCUUGACCGAGAUCUAGGGCCUGUUGCAGAAAAGUAGAAUUAAGACAUCCAGGAUAAAUGCCUGAGCUGAGCUCAAUGAAUCCAAAACACGUGCGUACAGGUUUAAUUAGUUGCACAAAGACCAAGCCAGGAUGAGCAGACACGGUUCAUCAAGCCAGGUGUAACCAAUCCUGGAUAUGUGCGCGCUCACGGCUCACUCAAACAGACCCGCCACCAAUCACAGAUUCACCAUGGCAACAAGAGCGGCGUACUUUUCCCCGUCGGAAGCACAAAUCCUCAUGGAGGCAUACGGGGAGGUAAAAGAAAUAAUUAAGAAGAAAGGCAACACCGCCACAGUGAUAAAGCAAAGAGAAAAAGCGUGGCAAAGUAUUGCAGACCGCCUGAAUGCGCAAGUAAUGCACAAUAACACUCACCGCUCCGCUAAAAACUACAAUCCAAAUAGUUAAUUCACAUCUCCUAAAACGCAGUUGUACUCUGAUUAUGAAACAUUUGAAUUUUUAAUUGAAAUGGAUGCAGAUAUGAGUGAAGUUGUGUAAAGUAACUCCAUCACACUGUAUAAAUUAUCAAAGCCUUACAUUAUUACUACGUUCACUAGUAUGGUUUAAUCUUAACCGUUAUACUCUGCUUCUUAUGUUGUCCACCGAUUUUUCUCUGUUCUCCUGCUUUUAUUAAUGUAAAGCUGCUUUGAAACAAUGAAACAAUUGUGAAAAGUGCUAUAAAAAUAAAAUUGAAUAAAUAGAUGAGCUAAUAAUAAUCACUUUAAUUUAUAUAGCGCCAUUCAAAAGACCCAAGGUCGCUUGCUCACUGACUCCAUUGAAUGUUCUUGUGUGAUAAAGGAAGCGUCUCUUUGUGUGUGUGUGUGUGUGGGUGGGCCCCCAGAGUGCCACCAGCCAUGGACUGGGACAAUCUGGCAAUCUUCCCUGAUGACGACAUUGGUCGGCUGCCGAGGGACCAAUAUGUGUUGAAUGAUUUUAGUUAGUAUGUGUGCUUUCAAUUUUUGGUUAUUCUGCGGUGGCAGAAGAAUUUGGGGUUUUUUGUGUUCUCUCAUUUUAUAUAUAUAUAUAUUAUAUUAUAUAAAUUGGUUUGGCCUCUUAUGAUGUUUGUGCUGUAUACCGUGUGUACAGUAUACUGUAUACUGAGGGAGGCUACUGCAUCCAUUCAUUUGUCUGUUCAGUUGAUGUGUAUGGAUUUGUCCUGCAUUUAUUUCAGUGUGCAGACAUGCGGGUGUGUUAUAUACCGUUCUUUUUGAACGUGUAUUUAUCCUUUUGUAUCCUGUGUGACUUUGUUUUAUCCUUAUUCAAUAAAGGAACAUAAUGUUACACUUUGUGUUUUUAUAUUUAUAUGGAAUGUGUAUUUUAUACGACAGAGUAUUAGGGCCACACUAAGGAAGAAGGAAAAAGUCAUAAAUUUAUGAGGCUCUUUCUUUCUGCAGAAAACAUGCAUAUUCUUUUUACAGUCCUGAUACUUAUGACAAUGUGCUGAUGUAUUUAAUGUAUUGUAAACACUACUUAAUGUAUGUCCUUGUUUGUGAAACCAUACUGAAGAACAAUUACACGAAUGCCCCACAGCUGUCAUUUUAACAACUGUCCUACUCUAAAAUGACGGGCUACAAUAUUAUUAAAGACUUCAUUCUCUUUUCUCUUCAUUUUCUUUUUUUUCCCUCUGUGGCCCUAAUAUUCUAUCAUUUUAUAUAUAGCCUUAUAGACUAUUUGGAAACUGUAAAUUAUUUAAUGAUAGCAACAUCAUCUAAAAAUGAUCAUUUAUCCAAAAAUGAUUGAAAUUAAUGAUCACAAAUGUUUAAAUAAUGACAGUGGGUCUAGUUAUAUGUGAUAACAAUGUAUAGUGGGCAGUGGAAUAACUAUUGGUUUACGUUUGUGGUGACUGCUGACUGAGAUAAGGGAUGAGAUUAAAUAGAUCCUAGUACUUGGCCUGGUCUGGAGCAGGCUAGCUCCACAGAAUAAAUCUCCAUGGUAAUUUAUACCAUAACAUUGUACCGCCCCAUAAUCCAGCUUCAGUGAUCACGGAUAAAUUGAGCAAGGAUCACCAAGAUAUUCCGGCUUAAUCCCUUAUCCUUGUUUUGUGCAACAGGCCCCUGGACAGGGAGCUGGAGAACAAGUCACGUCAACAUAACCUGACCUCAGCUAACGUGCGCAGUAUUAUACACGUGAGUGUGAAGCUAUUCAUAUCAAUUCUUAUCUUUCAUUUAUGGAGAUCUGUGAUUGACAUCUUCACCCCCGCGGGAGGUGAUUACCAACGAGCAUGUCGUGGCAAUGAUGAAAGCCGCCUUCAAUGAGACCGAACCCGUUCCUGUGUUUGAGCCUAAGAUGACUCGCUCUAAGUUGAAGGAGGUUGUGGAGAAAGGAGUGAGGAGGAAGAUUCGUCUGAUGAAGAGUACCACCCUGAUGAAGAGGAGGAGGAUGAGACAGCCGAGGAUGAAAGACACAAUUAUUGUUUAUAUUCGAAAAGACCUCUAAUUUAUCAAAUCAAUAUGUAUCAAACUGAGGAGGUGUGUGUGUGUGUUGUAGACACUUCUGGAAAGUGAUUUGGAGAGUACAGCAUCAUCACCACACGGCAGUCGACUAAACCUUAACAGAUCCUACAGCGAAUGUGAGGUGGAAAACUGCUGAAACUGCUGAAAACAGCCCCAGACAGAUCUCCUGCAGGUCACAGCAUGGGCACACCAGGGCCCGGAGCCUCCACGACUCCAGACUGAUUGCAGAUUCAUGGAGAAACUUCACGCUGUGGAUGAGGAGCUGGCUAUUGGUUCUGACUGCAUGGACUCUUACC